rnacentral:precursor_RNA from 13 species
AGGAUCCCAACUGACCUACGGCAUGGUGUGAACAGGUCAUGUGUGAUGCAGUGUGAUAGUGAAAUAUGCUGCAUCGCGUGUGACCUCCCUACACAGCACUGUGUCUCUCUGUCUGGAGAUU